rnacentral:rRNA from 1 species
CCUACGGGCGGCAGCAGUGAGGAAUAUUGGUCAAUGGCCGGAAGGCUGAACCAGCCAUGCCGCGUGAAGGGCAGGGCCCUAUGGGCGUUAAACUUCUUUUGUGCGGGAGCAAGAAUGGUCACGGGUGGCCAGACGAGAGUACCGUACGAAUAAGCAUCGGCGAACUCCGUGCCAGCAGCCGCGGUAAGACGGGGGAUGCAAGCGUUAUCCGGAUUUCGUGGGGUUCAAGGGUGCGUAGGCGGUGAGGUAAGUCAGCGGUGAAAUGCCCCCGCUCAACGGGGGGAAGUGCCAUUGAUACUGCCUUGCUGGCUUGCGGAUGCCGUGGGAGGAUUGUGUGGUGUAGCG